rnacentral:lncRNA from 1 species
GUCAACAUCUACCACAAGGAUAGAAAGGUUCCACUCAAGGAGCCCAAGAGCCAGGACAUCUACCUAAGGCUGUUGGUCAGGCUGUACAGGUUUAUGGCCAGAGAAACCAACUCCACAUUUAACAAAGUUGUGCUGAAGAGGCUGUUUAUGGGUUGCACCAAAUGGCUACCUCUAUUGCUUUCCUGGAUGAUCCAGCAGAUGAAACUUUCUGACUGGGAAAACAAAACUACUGUGGUUUUGGGGACCAUAAUGGACGAUGUGUGGGUUCAGGAGGUGCCCAAAUUGCAGGUGUGUGUGCUCUGUGGUUGAGUAGCUGGCCCACAACUGCAUCCUAAAGGCUGGAGGCAAAACACUCACUUUGCUCCAGCUGGGCCUGGAUUUUCAAGGGCCAUCACACCGUUCUGCUCUCUGGCUGUUGCAAGCACCAAGCACACCUGCAUUUCCACAAGGCCUGGAUAACCCUUCAAAGCCACACCAAACCUAACCUGCUCCAAGGGCCAGAAGUUCUAACACUCCAGAGGCCCAGGGGGUAGCCUCAGCUACAAAAAUUAA